rnacentral:rRNA from 1 species
AGUGAACGCUGGCGGUAGGCCUAACACAUGCAAGUCGAACGGCAGCACAGUAAGAGCUUGCUCUUACGGGUGGCGAGUGGCGGACGGGUGAGGAAUACAUCGGAAUCUACUUUUUCGUGGGGGAUAACGUAGGGAAACUUACGCUCAUACCGCAUACGACCUACGGGUGAAAGCAGGGGAUCUUCGGACCUUGCGCGAUUGAAUGAGCCGAUGUCGGAUUAGCUAGUUGGCGGGGUAAAGGCCCACCAAGGCGACGAUCCGUAGUUGGUCUGAGAGGAUGAUCAGCCACACUGGAACUGAGACACGGUCCAGACUCCUACGGGAGGCAGCAGUGGGGAAUAUUGGACAAUGGGCGCAAGCCUGAUCCAGCCAUACCGCGUGUGUGAAGAAGGCCUUCGGGUUGUAAAGCCCUUUUGUUGGGAAAGAAAAGCAGCAGGUUAAUACCCCGCUGUUCUGACGGUACCCAAAGAAUAAGCACCGGCUAACUUCGUG